rnacentral:rRNA from 1 species
CAGGCCUAACACAUGCAAGUCGAACGGUCCUUCGGGAUAGUGGCGGACGGGUGAGUAACACGUGGGAACGUACCCUUAGGUUCGGAACAACACAGGGAAACUUGUGCUAAUACCGGAUGAGCCCUUCGGGGGAAAGAUUUAUCGCCUUUGGAGCGGCCCGCGUCUGAUUAGCUAGUUGGUGAGGUAAUGGCUCACCAAGGCGACGAUCAGUAGCUGGUCUGAGAGGAUGGCCAGCCACACUGGGACUGAGGCACGGCCCAGACUCCUACGGGAGGCAGCAGUGGGGAAUCUUGCGCAAUGGGCGAAAGCCUGACGCAGCCAUGCCGCGUGGAUGAUGAAGGUCUUAGGAUUGUAAAAUUCUUUCACCGGGGACGAUAAUGACGGUACCCGGAGAAGAAGCCCCGGCUAACUUCGUGCCAGCAGCCGCGGUAAUACGAAGGGGGCUAGCGUUGCUCGGAAUUACUGGGCGUAAAGGGCGCGUAGGCGGACAGUUAAGUUGGGGGUGAAAGCCCGGGGCUCAGCCUCGGAAUUGCCUUCAAUACUGGCUGUCUUGAGUACGGGAGAGGUGAGUGGAACUCCGAGUGUAGAGGUGAAAUUCGUAGAUAUUCGGAAGAACACCAGUGGCGAAGGCGACUCACUGGCCCGUUACUGACGCUGAGGCGCGAAAGCGUGGGGAGCAAACAGGAUUAGAUACCCUGGUAGUCCACGCCGUAAACGAUGAGUGCUAGUUGUCGGCAUGCAUGCAUGUCG